rnacentral:rRNA from 1 species
CGUCCUAUUAGCUAGUUGGUGAGGUAAUGGCUCACCAAGGCUACGAUGGGUAGGGGUUCUUAGUGGAAGGUCCCCCACACUGGCACUGAGAUACGGGCCAGACUCCUACGGGAGGCAGCAGUAAGGAAUAUUGGUCAAUGGGCGCAAGCCUGAACCAGCCAUGCCGCGUGCAGGGUGAAGGCUCUCUGAGUUGUAAACUGCUUUUGUACAGGAGCAAAAAAAUCCCUGCGGGGGUUCUUGAGAGUACUGUAAGAAUAAGCACCGGCUAAUUCCGUGCCAGCAGCCGCGGUAAUACGGGAGGUGCAAGCGUUAUCCGGUUUUAUUGGGUUUAAAGGGUGCGUAGGCGGCUUAUUAAGUCAGUUGUGAAAUCCUAGUGCUUAACGCUAGAACUGCGAUUGAUACUAUU